rnacentral:rRNA from 1 species
AUUGAACGCUGGCGGCAGGCUUAACACAUGCAAGUCGAGCGAGCGGCGGACGGGUGAGUAAUGUCUGGGAAACUGCCUGAUGGAGGGGGAUCACUACUGGAAACGGUAGCUAAUACCGCAUACCAUCAGAUGUGCCCAGAUGGGAUUAGCUAGUAGGUGGGGUAAAGGCUCACCUGGGCGACGAUCCCUAGCUGGUCUGAGAGGAUGACUGGCCACACGGAGACUGAGAAACGGUCCAGUCUCCUACGGGAGGCAGCAGUGGGGAAUAUUGCACAAGGGGGGCAAGACUGAUGCAGCCAUGCGGAGUGUGUGAAGAAGGCCUUCGGGUUGUAAAGCACUUUCAGCGGGGAGGCGUUACUCGCAGAAGAAGCACCGGCUAACUCCGUGCCAGCAGCCGCGGUAAUAC